rnacentral:rRNA from 1 species
UACGUAGGUGGCAAGCGUUGUCCGGAUUUAUUGGGUUUAAAGGGUGCGUAGGCGGUCAAAUAAGUCAGUUGUGAAAUACGGCAGCUCAACUGUCGAGGUGCAAUUGAUACUGUUUGACUUGAGUAUUGUUGAGGUAGGCGGAAUGGACGGUGUAGCGGUGAAAUGCUUAGAGAUCGUCCAGAACACCGAUAGCGAAGGCAGCUUACUAAAGAAUAACUGACGCUGAGGCACGAAAGUGUGGGGAUCAAACAGG